UGGUUAUUUACUAUAUAUGAAAGACACAACUUCUUUCUUUUCUUUUUUUUUUUUUUGAGGCGGAGUUUUGCUCUUGUUGCCCAGGCUGGAGUGCAGGGGCAUGAUCUCAGCUCACUACAACCUCUGCCUCCUGGGUUCAAGCGAUUCUCCUGCCUCAGCCUCCCAAGUAGCUGGGAUUGCAGGCUCCCACCACCAUGCCUGGCUAAUUUUAAAAAUAUUUUUAGUAGAGACGGGGUUUCACAAUAUUGGCCAGGCUAGUCUCGAACUCCUGACCUCUGGUGGUCCACCCACCUUGGCCUCCCAAAGUGCUGGGAUUACAGGUGUGAGCCACUGCACCCAGCUGACACAACUUCUUUCUAAAUAAUCUUUAUGCAACUUAUAAGUUAUAAUCCUUAUUAUCCUGACUUACGAGUAUGACCCAAUCUUUGAAUUUAGUUUCUUUGUUUACUCGUCAAAUAAUCUCUCAUUUUUAAUUGUAAGAAAUUAGUUCUGUAACAUAAGUGAGCCUGAAAGAAAGAGAACAGGCUCCGAUAAUGGAGUAGUUUUUAUCAGACUUAUCUUCCCAGUAGUCCCACACUGUCCCACUCACACACAGUCACACUCAGUGCCUUCCCAGGGGCAGCCCAUAGCAGAAUAGGAUGCACACUACUCUGGGAUGGAAGGAAAGGCAAGACUUCAAGGACUGGGCUGCCUAGCCAAACCUCUUUGGUGUGUUGCAUGAAAUUUUUGAAGUUUUUAUGGAUAUUGGAGGCAAGAAGAGAUACAAUAAGAAGCUCAAUUAACUAAAUGACUUUUUUAUCAAAACUUCAUCUCACCCUAAAUGGGCUUUCAGUCAUCUCCCUAGUCUCACAAGUGAGCACUGAGGGAUCCUUGCCCUGGAAUUAGUCAGUUCUCUAUGAAUAGGCAUUUAAGAACAUUUCUCUCUGUAGCUAGAAUGUCAGGUCAGCUACCUGGGCAUUUACUUGGUUUCUGUCCUGAUAGAGCCCAAGUGCUUAUGUGAUAACCUAAUUCUCUCACCUUGUCCUCCUGUUCUUAUGAUAUUUAAAAAGUCUUUUCCUUGACUUAUUCUUCAAUAAUUGUGUCAUUUUGGUUCCUGCCAGGUUAGCGGCUUCCUUGCUUUCGAUUCUGACUUCAUUGUGUCCCCUAAUCCCUAAAUGCCUUCUUGAUUUCAGCCCACUUCCUUUCUGACCUCCAGUGGCACUGGCGUGUGUACAGACACACUGAGUUCCAUUUACAUGUGCCUAGGACUGUGCACUCACUUAGCCUCACACUCAUCCACACUCACAUCCCCACUUUCCCACAAUCACUCACACUCAGUGUCCUCCAUUUACUCAGCCCCACUCACUCUCGCCCAACCGUACACACUUGUUCCAUUCACUCACACUCCUGGUCGUUCCCUUCACACUCACACUCCUUCACAUUCAUGACCAGCCACCCCACUGGCCUCCAUUUAGUACUACUCGGUCUCACCCAGCCCUACCCAUAUGCACACCAGAGUCAGCUCACUCACAGUCGCACAGUCAGUCCCUCAAAUGCAGUCACUCCCUCAGGAACUCCUUCCCUCUCACUCAGGUACAAUGUCUCAUUCAUCCUCAGUGCCCUUCACACACUUCAUAUACACACUGGGCAUGUGUCACACCCACUCACACAAACUUCAGGCACAGCCAGUCCUACCCACACUUAUUCACGCUUAUUUCACUCAUGCCCAGCCCCACCCACUCACACCUAGUCACACUCACAUGUGGUCCCAAACAGUUCCAGUAUACCUAGACUCACACAGUCCUACUCAUACCUAGUCACACUCAGUCACGCUCACACAUGGUCCCGCACAGUUCCAAUACACCUAGCCUCACACAGUCCUAUGCAUACCUAGUCACACUCAGUCACAUGCAUACAUGGUCCCACCCACUCACACUCACACCUAGUCACACUCACAUAUGGUCCCACACCGUUCCAAUACACCUGGUUUCACACAGUCCUUCUGACACCUAGUCACACUCAGUCACACUCACACAUGGUCCCACACAAUCACACUCACACUAGUCAUACUCUAUUCUACUACCUCUCAGAGAAUUCCACUCUAUUCUACUCUCUCGGUGUCAUUUGUCCCCUCAGGAGGAUGCAGCAUUCAAGGUUCUAUCUUGGAAGCAGAGACUGUGCCCUCACCAGAUGCUGAACCUGCUGAGCACCCUGAUCUUCCACUUCACCUUCAUCAGAACUGGACGCGCAUGAAAUUUGGUGCCGUGACUCGGAUCGGCGGACCUCCCUUAGGAGAUCAAUCCCCUGUCCUCCUGCUCUUUGCUCCAUGAGAAAGAUCCACCUACGACCUAAGGUCCUCAGACCAACCAGCCCAAGAAACAUCUCACCAAUUUCAAAUCCGAAAUCCUUCAUCUAAUCUGGCAAACACAUGUGGCAGGUUUUUCUCACCGCAUAAAAUAUGUUAUAGAGUAGUCCAUCUAUUUCUCUUCCAUGGAAGAGUUCAUCUGGUAGAUUGGACUACCACUUUUCCUUGUGGAGACCUAUUCUGUUGGGUUAGAGAUGACAGAAAAUCUUAUUUGUCGGUUGGUUUGUUUGUUCAAGAAUACACUGACCUUCUACAAGAAAGGAGAGCUCUUUGACACCUGGAAAUUUUACAGAAGCUUGGGACAGCUCUGAAUGGCAACACGGUCCUGAGAUAUGUGAUUACCUGGGACUUUCAUUGGACCUGCAUUUCAGCUCUACUCUCCUCACUGCCCUAUGCUGCUUUGACCCUAAAAGUGAAGCCAGCUUGGCCAGGUGCAGUGACUCACACCUGUAAUCCCAGCACUUUGGGAGGCCGAGGUGGGCAAAUCAAGAAGUCAGGAAAUCGAGACCACCCUGGCCAACAUUGUGAAACACCAUCUCUACUAAAACACAAAAAAAUUAGCCAGGUGUGGUGGCACGCACCUGUAGUCCCAGCUACUCGGGAGGCUGAGGCAGGGGAAUCACUUGAACCCGUGAGGAGGAAAUUGCAGCGAGCCAAGAUCGCGCCACUGCACCCCAGCCUGGGCGACAGAGAGAGACUCCAUCUCAAAAACAAAACAAAACAAAACAAAAAAAACAAAAAGUGAAGCCAACUCAAUUGUCUCAUAGAACUGAUCUUUACGGUGUUUUUAAAUAAACAUAGAAAUUGGCCCUCCCAGUCUUAAAACUUCAAAAACUUACAUUUGUCUUACCUCAGUUCCUUUCUCAGGAAUCCAAUCAUCAAGGCUCCCAGAUAGUAUCAAUGAACGGAAACUUACCAGAUCACGAUAUCUGGACAAUGAGAUGUCAGAUCCCCCUCAUCCAUCCUGAUUACCUAACUGACUACCUGCUUCCUGUUGGCCAACUACUCUUCCUUACCCCUCCCUAAUUCUUGUUUUCCCACAAAUGGUUACAUUUCUGUCCUGCUAUAGAAGCCCUUAAUUUUAAUUGGUCGAGGAGAUGGAUUUGAGACUGAUUUUUUGCUCUCCUUGGCUGUUGCACCUGAAUAGCCUUUUUCCCUGGCAAUACUUUUUGUCUCAGUGAUUGGCUUUCUGUGCAGUGAGCAAUGGGACCAAACUUCUGGUGUUUUGGUAACAAAUUUUGGUUUCCUGACUGUGAAUGCAUUGCUUGUGACUCAGCUGCCAUGAGCUGGGAGAGUUUCAAAAGCCCUCUAAGCAGCUACCUGACCAUUUUGGCCAGAGGUGGAUUUUCGUCUCUCCCCAUUUGGGCCCACUUCUGCCAACCCCAACCAUGUUCCUGAUUGCCUAGGAAGAACAGCCUUUGAAAUUUGACGUCUAUGUACAGAAAGGUGAGUGUCUUUUAUGGGUACUAGACAGUGGGAAUGGUUCCUCUCCAUUUGGGAAAUCCCAAAGGCAUAUCAGUUUGCAGGUUAAACAAGCCAAACUGAUGGAGAGAGGAUAAUACCUUGACUGAUUCAGUUUGAACACUCUUGGGGCUUGUUCAUUGCUACAGAAGUUGGAUUGUGUUUUGGUGAUUGUUUGCUUGUGUAUGUCUAUGUAGUUAUGGGAUGUCAGGGUUUGAUCCCAGAGUGCAGCCCACAUGGGUGCAUUCUUUGGGUUAGUCUGUAUGUAGUUGUGGGUUGACAGAGCAGGGGAAAUUCUACAGCCAUACCACUCUGAGUGUGGCUGAUCUUGUCUGAUCGCGAUGUCUUUGCAUUGUAGUGCUGUCUUACAAUUGAAUUCAUUUUGCUGUUGAAUGGGAAAGCAGGAUGGAGGUCCAUGUAUGUAUGCUUUUAUGCUGCUGCUCUGAACAGGGUUGGGCCUGAUUAGUACUGUGAUGCUCUUCUGUGGUGCUGUUUGGCCCCAGUGUUCUUUGGAAUCCGGGGAAUUUUGGCCUUUAAAAGUUAAACUGCCAUGGGAACUGAUUUACCCAGUUUUAGUUCAUAGCCUUCAUUGUAUUAUCUAUCAGGGCAAAAAAGUUAGCCGUGUGAACAUGUUCGUAAACCAGUGAGUUUGUAUUGCUAUCUCAUGCCUAGAAUUCUAAAGUAAAAACUAUUGGGUCUUUGUUUGUAUAUAUGUAUAUGGGUCUAAAUGUUAUGUGUUGUUUUUACAGGGUACAGAUUGGCUCAUAAAUAAAAGAGCACUCAUAAAUUAAGUGAA
rnacentral:lncRNA from 1 species